rnacentral:lncRNA from 1 species
UAAGACUCCUAGGAACCCUACUGUGACUGGCAUCUACAGUAAAGACAGUCUUGUGAAAGACUGAUCUUAACUUCAUCUAGAGUGUCGGCUCUAACACUAGGUAGUUGGUGUCAGACUGGAAUUGAAUUGGACGACACUUAGCUUAUGUUAAAAAAAAUAUGGUGUUGGGAUUCAGUAUCAAAUGUGCAGCAAUCUUAAAUUUUCUCUCUCCCAUAUUCCUGAGGUACAGAACAGGGCAACCAAUAACAUGUGGUAUCUGAACUUCCCCUGUGGCAAAAUGUUCCUUCAGUUUCACCCCACAGCAGUCCAGUUACAAGACAUUAACCUCUUCACCAGUUUCAACGAAAAAAAUCAAUGCAUUUGGUCUACUAUAAAAAAGAACAAUUAAAGAGCUAAGAAAAAGUAAGAAAAAAGGUAAAAAAUAUUUACAAAGUGACAAUGACUGUUUUCAAUAUAAACUGAGAGAAUGCUUAUAUAUUUUUCAAAAACUGUUUCUUUUUUCUAAAGCAGAGCACACUAUCAGAUAACAUGAUGAAUUCACUGACAGACUUUAUUUGAAGCAUGGCAGCUAAACCAUCAUAGAUAUUCUCUGCAAAGCAGUGGCAGAACUUCAUGUUGCUUGUUUUAAUAAAACAGGAGAUCAGAUUCCUAGAAGCA